AUUGAACGCUGGCGGCAGGCCUAACACAUGCAAGUCGAACGAGGGGCGGACGGGAGAGUAAUGUCUGGGAAACUGCCAGAUGGAGGGGGAUAACCUCUGGAAACGGUAGCUAAUACCGCAUACCAGCAGGAGUGCCCAGAUGGGAUUAGCUAGUUGGUGGGGUAAAGGCUCACCAAGGCGACGAUCCCUAGCUGGUCUGAGAGGAUGACCAGCCACACUGGAACUGAGACACGGUCCAGACUCCGACGGGAGGCAGCAGUGGGGAAUAUUGCACAAUGGGCGCAAGCCUGAUGCAGCCAUGCCGCGUGUAUGAAGAAGGCCUUCGGGUUGUAAAGUACUUUCAGCGGGGAGGCGUUACCCGCAGAAGAAGCACCGGCUAACUCCGUGCCAGCCGCCGCGGUAAUUC
rnacentral:rRNA from 1 species